rnacentral:siRNA from 1 species
AGGUGAUCCCUUGUCUCCCUACCU